CCUUAUAAGGGUGCGAUCUGUUUUUUCAAUAAAGCCCGACCCGAUCCAUACCCACCGAAAAAGAGAAAAGAAACUCAUCCUGACCGACACCUUCCCCAGCCGCAGCGCGCCGCCGCGACCUCGUCUCUCCCCCAGAGCACCGUCGCGCCUUCCCCUCUCCCCCAGCGCGCCGCCGCGCCCUCCCCUCUCCCUCAGCGCGCCGCCUCGCCGCCCCCUCUCCCCCACCUUCUCCCUCGGUUCCAGCCCGAGCACAGCCUGGCUCCGACGGCCCCGGCCAUGAUUCGCCCCCACCUGGCUGGAUCUACCGCCGCCGCGGCCAGCCCAAGUCCGGUUUGUGCUGCUCCUCUCCUCCUUUCCGUCACCGCCGUUCAUCCGGGUUAGCUCUCCAUCGACAGGCCCCGGUCGCUACUCACCUCGAUAGCCUCUGGUCAUGGUGUUCUCCUACCUGCGGCUGCCCUCGAUCAUGAGCUCGUCCACCACAAUCGCUGGUAGCCGUCAAACUUGAGCUCUGACGGCAGUCCGAGCAGAACUUCAACCACCAUCUUCACCUAGUGCUGGAUGUUGCUCGCUCAUCGAGCUCAACCACGGCCCAAACAAAAAAACACCCCGUCUCGUCAUCUCCACCUCUCCUGACCAGAUCCUACACCGCGCCUCCAUUCCCCAGUCGCCCGUGCCCCUCACACCCCGGUCGUCGCGCGCCGCCCUCCUUCCGGCCAACACGCUCCUCCGUCCUCCCUGCCGACGCGUGCUCCACCCACGGCGCCGCACGCCUCCCUCGACCCGGCCGAUGCGCGCCCCACCCCCGGUUGCCGCGCACCUCCCUCCUGCUGGUUGCCGCCUCCAGCCCGCCGUCACUGCCCCCGAUGCCUCGACGCCCAGAGCCCCUUCCUCUAUUCCUCAAAAAUCCGUCAAUUGGAAAAGUCUCAAAAACCCGUCAGUUGGAAAGCCGUUCAACGUCCGUGGCUGAGAACGUCCACGAGCUCCUCUGUUAUCAGUUCCUUCGGUCGACAGUGCGUUGUGGCUCCUUGGUGAGCAAACCUUUUGUCCCUGUUGUGCAGUCAUUUCCUGGAGUAAGGAUGUUGUGCAUACACGUGCGUCAGUGCACUAUCGACUAUAACAAAAGUUGAUGUUCGUGCAAAUGCCAAACUUGUCGCAGCUGGGUGCAACCCGCGAAGGGGCUAUGCAGCAGGUGAGGAGGUGUGUGUGCGAGAGAUGAUACUGAACUUGUACUGCUGCUGUACUCGCGUGUGAAUGAUUCUUUUUUUCCUGCUCAUUCUUGUACUGCCUGCCAUGAAAAUACCUGACGACAGAAUACAGAAUAUUUGUGUAUUCUAUCAUCAGUUCAUAGAGAAGAAAUUCUUUUUUCUCCA